rnacentral:tRNA from 1 species
UAUAUUUUAGUAUAUGAUAUACGUGAGUUUUUGAUACUUAAGAUAAUAGUUUAAUUCUAUUAAAUAUAA